AUUGAACGCUGGCGGCAUGCCUUACACAUGCAAGUCGAACGGUAACGGGCCUUCGGGUGCCGACGAGUGGCGAACGGGUGCGUAAUACAUCGGAACGUGCCCGAUCGUGGGGGAUAACGAGGCGAAAGCUUUGCUAAUACCGCAUACGAUCUACGGAUGAAAGCAGGGGACCGCAAGGCCUUGCGCGGGCGGAGCGGCCGAUGGCGGAUUAGGUAGUUGGUGGGAUAAAAGCUUACCAAGCCGACGAUCUGUAGCUGGUCUGAGAGGAUGAUCAGCCACACUGGGACUGAGACACGGCCCAGACUCCUACGGGAGGCAGCAGUGGGGAAUUUUGGACAAUGGGCGCAAGCCUGAUCCAGCCAUGCCGCGUGCAGGAUGAAGGCCUUCGGGUUGUAAACUGCUUUUGUACGGAACGAAAAGCCUUCUUUUAAUACAGGAGGGUCAUGACGGUACCGGAAGAAUAAGCACCGGCUAACUACGUG
rnacentral:rRNA from 1 species